rnacentral:tRNA from 1 species
GCGGGGGUUGCCGAGUGGUCAAAGGCGCUAGAUUCAGGGUCUAGUCGAUAAGUUCGUUCGAGGGUUCAAGUCCCUUCCCCCGCA